UGCCCAAGAGAUCGGGAUAACACCUGGAAACAGAUGCUAAUACCGGAUAACAACAGAUGAUGCCUAUCAACUGUUUAAAAGAUGGUUCUGCUAUCACUCUUGGAUGGACCUGCGGUGCAUUAGCUAGUUGGUAGGGUAACGGCCUACCAAGGCGAUGAUGCAUAGCCGAGUUGAGAGACUGAUCGGCCACAUUGGGACUGAGAUACGGCCCAGACUCCUACGGGAGGCAGCAGGC
rnacentral:rRNA from 1 species